rnacentral:tRNA from 1 species
GGUCCCAUGGUGUAAUGGUCAGCACUCAGGACUCUGAAUCCUGCAAUCUGAGUUCAAAUCUCAGUGGGCCCC